CAGCAGCCGCGGGAAAACGUAGGUGGCAAGCGUUGUCCGGAAUUAUUGGGCGUAAAGCGCGCGCAGGCGGAUCAGUCAGUCUGUCUUAAAAGUUCGGGGCUUAACCCCGUGAGGGGAUGGAAACUGCUGAUCUAGAGUAUCGGAGAGGAAAGUGGAAUUCCCAGUGUAGCGGUGAAAUGCGUAGAUAUUAGGAAGAACACCAGUGGCGAAGGCGACUUUCUGGACGAAAACUGACGCUGAGGCGCGAAAGCCAGGGGAGCGAACGGGAUUAGAGACCCGAGUAGUCCCUGUCUCUUAUACA
rnacentral:rRNA from 1 species